rnacentral:lncRNA from 1 species
GCAGCUCGUCCGGCCCGCCCGCAGGCCAGCUUCUCUCGGGAGCCUCCACCCAGGCGCAUGGCUCCAUGAAGCAAGAGGAGGAGGCAGAGCGCGAGAGAUCCCGUCCGCCCCAGCCGCGUCUGGGCCAGGAGAAAAGCAAAACCAUAUUCCUGCUGCUGUCAGUUUUGAUGCACUGAGAAAACUUCAGAGACCUAAGCUUUUUCCAGAGAAGAGAAGCUUUACUGGUGUUCCAGCCCUAAGGCUCAUAUGACAUUAACAGACAAGACACUUUUCAGAAAGACAGAUUUCCUAGCAGACUUAACAUCUGGCAUUGGGGAAUCCUUAAACCCAAGGAAGGAACUGCUGGCAGGAAAUUUUCUGUGGAUGUUAGGAUUGGGAAAAGGGGAGAUGAAAUAAGGGAUGUGCUUCCUUAAGAUUAUAAACUCUAUCCACAAAGCCCCUGUCUGGAAUUCUGGGUUGAAUUGUAUCCUCCCCAACCCCCACCGAAAAAAAAGACAUGCUCUUCAACAUAUCUUCCUAACCCCCAGUAUCUCAGAAUGUGACCUUAUUUGGAAAUAGGAUCAUUGCAGAUAUAAUUAGUUAAAUAAAAAUGAGGUCAUACUGGAGUAGGGUAGGCCUCUGAUCCAAUAUGACUGGUGGCCUUAUUAGAAGAUGGCCAUGUGAAGACAGAAACACACAAGGAGAAGACCAUGCAAUGAUGAAGACAGAGACUGGAGUUAUGCAGCUGAAAACCAAGGAACAGCUUCUUAUGUACUUAAUUUGUGUCAGAUUUCACUACGUGUCAAAGCUUGCUAUAAAACCACCAGAAGCUAAGAAGAGAGGAAGGAUUCCCCUACAGGUUUCAGAGGAAACACGGCUCUGCUUACACCUUGAUUUCAGAUGCAACGUGUUGGACCUUCCGGAGCUUCUCAGAAGACAGAGGGUUUUCUUUUGAGGUAAAUUUGAUAGUACAUUUUGAUAGUACAGGAGGCGAUACGGCAUGGUGACAGAAAAGCGCCGGCUUGGUUAGCGGGACCACCUGGCAGGGCUGCAGGCUGUGCCACUUACCAGGCAGGGGACCUUGGGCCAGCUGCUUGGCCUCACUCACCCUGUUUCCUCAGCUGCAAUUGGGAUGAACAGACUGCCUGCUUCGGGGUUGCCUAAAACUCACAUUGCUUAAUGAUGUGAAAUGCUUAGCGCAGUGCCUGGCAUAGAGAGAAUUCUCAUUAGAUGAUACCUCAGCUGGGCUUUAGGAGCUACAGAAGAAGCUGCAUCUCCAUGAGCUCAGCGUGUUUCUAGCUUUCCUUUUUGUUUUCUAUUCAACCUUUCACCCAACUCAGCUUCUCAAUCCCUAAAUGACAAAGGUUUGGGAAGGAAGACUUGGACCGAUGCUUGCAUUUGUUUCUGAGAAUUAAACGUUAUGUUUUCUUCAAUCCAAA